CAUGCCGCGUGCAGGAUGACGGUCCUAUGGAUUGUAAACUGCUUUUAUACGGGAAGAAACCCUGGCUCGUGAGCCAGAUUGACGGUACCGUAGGAAUAAGGAUCGGCUAACUCCGUGCCAGCAGCCGCGGUAAUACGGAGGAUCCAAGCGUUAUCCGGAAUCAUUGGGUUUAAAGGGUCCGUAGGCGGUUUUAUAAGUCAGUGGUGAAAUCCGGUAGCUCAACUAUCGAACUGCCAUUGAUACUGUAGAACUUGAAUUGUUGUGAAGUAACUAGAAUAUGUAGUGUAGCGGUGAAAUGCUUAGAUAUUACAUGGAAUACCAAUUGCGAAGGCAGGUUACUAACAUCAUAUUGACGCUGAUGGACGAAAGCGUGGGGAGCGAACAGGAUUAGAUACCCUGGUAGUCCACGCCGUAAACGAUGGAUACUAGCUGUUCGGUAGCAAUACUGAGUGGCUAAGCGAAAGUGAUAAGUAUCCCACCUGGGGAGUACGAACGCAAGUUUGAAACUCAAAGGAAUUGACGGGGGCCCGCACAAGCGGUGGAGCAUGUGGUUUAAUUCGAUGAUACGCGAGGAACCUUACCAGGGCUUAAAUGUAGGUUGACAGGCUUGGAAACAGGUUUUUCUUCGGACAACUUACAAGGUGCUGCAUGGUUGUCGUCAGCUCGUGCCGUGAGGUGUCAGGUUAAGUCCUAUAACGAGCGCAACCCCUGUCGUUAGUUGCCAGCGAGUCAUGUCGGGAACUCUAACGAGACUGCCAGUGCAAACUGUGAGGAAGGUGGGGAUGACGUCAAAUCAUCACGGCCCUUACGUCCUGGGCUACACACGUGCUACAAUGGCCGGUACAGAGAGCAGCCACUGGGCGACCAGGAGCGAAUCUACAAAACCGGUCACAGUUCGGAUCGGAGUCUGCA
rnacentral:rRNA from 1 species